rnacentral:rRNA from 1 species
GGAAGGGCACACGGCGGAUGACUUGGCGUCAAGAGGCGAUGAAGGACGUGGAUACCUGCGAUAAGCCUGGGGAAGCUGGUAACGAGCUGUGAUCCCAGGAUUUCCGAAUGGGGAAACCCGGCCCUUGUGGUCACUGCACACUGAAUGCAUAGGUGUGUAGAGCGAACGUGGGGAACUGAAACAUCUCAGUACCCACAGGAAAGGAAAGCAACAGCGACUCCGUGAGUAGCGGCGAGCGAAACCGGAUUGAUGUGAGACUCGUGAACGCGUUGGAAUGCGCGGCCGCAGAAGGUGAAAGCCCUGUAGCGGGAGGUAGCAUCUCAGCCCUUGAGUAGGUUCGGGCUCGUGGAACCCGGAUUGAACAUGGGAGGUCCACCUCCCAAGGCUAAGUACUCCUUGACGACCGAUAGUGAAUCAGUAAGGUGACUGAAUGUUUAAAAGCACCCCUAUGAGGGGAGUGAAAGAGUCCCUGAAACCGUGUGCCUACAAGCUGUCGGAGCCCUCCGGGGUGACGGCGUGCUUUUUGCAUAAUGAGCCCGCGAGUUAGCCUUUGCGGCGAGCCUAAGGACCCCCGGUCCGGAGGCGGAGCGAAAGCGAGUCUGAACAGGGCGUUCAGUCGCAGGGGCUAGACACGAAACCCGUGUGAUCUACCCAUGGCCAGGGUGAAGGUGGGGUAAGACCUGCUGGAGGCCCGAACCGGUUGUCGUUGAAAAGACAUCGGAUGAGCUGUGGGGAGGGGUUAAAGUCCAAUCAAACCGGGAGAUAGCUUGUUCUCUCCGAAAUAACUUUAGGGUUAGCCUCAGGUGGCAACAGUUGGGGGUAGAGCUACUGGAUCGGUGGUGGGCCCUACCCGGGUACCCCAUCGAACCAAACUCCGAAUACCAACUGCCAAGGCCUGGGAGAUAGACCGCGAGUGACAAUAUCCGUGGUCAAAAGGAAAAGAAUCCAGACCGCCGGCUAAGGUCCCAGAUCACUGCUUAGUUCAUAAGGAAGUCAGGUUGCCGUGACAUCCAGGAUGUUGGCUUAGAAGCAGCCACCAUUUAAAGAGUGCGUAAUAGCUCACUGGACGAGGAAUCUGGCGCCGAUAAUGAUCGGGAAUAAGCAGUGAACCGAAGCCGCGGACUUCGUAAGAAGUGGUAGGAGAGCGUUGUUCGUGCGGCGAAGCGAUCCGGAAACGGUUCGUGGAGCGCGAACAAGUGCAUAUGCGGGCUUGAGUAACGAUAAAGAGGGUGAGAAUCCCUCUCGCCGUAAGCACAAGGGUUCCUGGGGAAGGUAAAUCCGCCCAGGGUUAGCCGGGACCUAAGGCGAGGCCGAAAGGCGUAGUCGAUGGAUAGCAGGUUAAUAUUCCUGCGCCCGCUGGGUAACGGAUCGUGGAUGUCCCCCGCCUUACCGGAUUGGUAGGCCUUCGGGCCGUGGGGGGUUGAAGCGGUUCCCAGAAAAAACCAGCUUGCCCGUACCAAAACUGACACAGGUGUGCGAGGCGAAUAGCCUCAGGCGCUCGAGAGAACGGUCGCGAAGGAACUAGGCAAAAUCACCCCGUACGUUCGCAAGAAGGGGGCCCUUCGGGGCGCAGAGAAGAGGCUCUGGGAACUGUUUAUCAAAAACACAGCACUGUGCCAAUUCGCAAGAUGAUGUAUACAGUGUGACGCUUGCCCAAUGCCGGAAUGUCACGGAAGUGGGUUAGGUUUAUCCGAAGCUCAUGACCUAAGCACCGGUCAAUGGCGGCCGUAACUAUGACGGUCCUAAGGUAGCGAAGUUCCUUGUCGGGUAAGUUCCGACGCGCAUGAAUAGCGUAAUCACCGGAGCACUGUCUCCGCGACCGACUCGGUGAAAUAGUAGUGGCGGUGAAGAUGCCGCCUACCCGCGGCAAGACGGAAAGACCCCGUGGACCUUUACUGCAGGCUCAUAUUGGUCACGAGCACAGGACGCGUAGGAUAGGUGGGAGGCUUUGAAGUCGGCGUUUCGGCGUUGAUGGAGCCGUUGGUGAAAUACCACCCUUCUUGAGUUUGUGGCCUAACCCCGAUUCCCUUGAACCAGGGCGGGGGACCGUGUGUGCCGGGUAGUUUGACUGGGGCGGUCUCCUCCUAAAGAGUAACGGAGGAGCGCAAAGGUCGGCUCAGCGCGGAUGGAAACCGCGUUUUAGAGUGUAAGAGCACAAGCCGGCUUUACUGCGAGUCCGACAGGACGAGCAGUCUCGAAAGAGGGCUCUAGUGAUCCUGCGAUCGCGCGUGGAAGCGUCGUAGCUCAUCGGAUAAAAGGUACCCCGGGGAUAACAGGCUUAUCGCACCCGAGCGUCCAUAGCGGCGGUGCGGUUUGGCACCUCGAUGUCGGCUCAUCACAUCCUGGGGCUGAAGGCGGUCCCAAGGGUUCGGCUGUUCGCCGAUUAAAGUGGUACGCGAGCUGGGUUCAGACCGGCGUGAGCCAGGUCGGUCCCUAUCUGCCGUGGGCGUUGCAAGCUUGAGAGGAGUCAACCUUAGUACGAGAGGAUUGGGUUGGACCGACCCCUGGUGAUCCUGUUGCGCCGCCCGGCGCACCGCAGGGUAGCUACGUCGUGCAGGGAUAACCGCUGAAAGCAUCUAAGCGGGAAGCCCCCCUCGAGAUCAGGCUUGCUUGCUUCGUGCGUGAGACCCCCGGGAGACGACCGGGUUGAUAGGCCGCAGGUGUAAGGGUUGAGAGGCCCUCAGCUGAGCGGUACUAAUGGUCGAAGGUUUGAUCAC